CCUACGGGAGGCUGCAGUGGGGAAUAUUGCACAAUGGGCGAAAGCCUGAAGCAGCGACGCCGCGUGAAUGAUGAAGUCCUUCGGGAUGUAAAGUUCUUUCGUCGGGGACAAUUAUGAUGGUACCCGAAUAAGAAGGACCGGCUAACUAUGUGCCAGCAGCCGCGGUAAUACAUAGGGUCCAAGCGUUAUCCGGAUUUAUUGGGCGUAAAGCGCGCGUAGGUGGUCGAUUAAGUCGGGUGUUAAAUUUGGAAGCUCAACUUCCAUACGCGCCCGAAACUGGUUGGCUUCGAGGUUGGAAGAGGGAAGUGGAACUCACAGUGUAGCGGUGAAAUGCGUAGAUAUUGUGAGGAACACCAGUGGCGAAGGCGACUUCCUGGUCCAAAUCUGACGCUAAAGCGCGAAAGCAUGGGGAGCAAACAGGCUUAGAUACCCUUGUAGUC
rnacentral:rRNA from 1 species